GACAGAGGUGGCAAGCGUUGUUCGGAAUCACUGGGCUUAAAGGGCACGCAGGCGGCCCGGCAAGUCGGAUGUGAAAUCCCCUGGCUUAACCAGGGAACUGCAUCCGAAACUACCGGGCUCGAGCGCAGGAGGGGAGAGCGGAACUCCUAGUGGAGCGGUGAAAUGCGUAGAUAUUAGGAGGAACGCCGGUGGCGAAAGCGGCUCUCUGGCCUGCAGCUGACGCUGAGGUGCGAAAGCUAGGGGAGCAAACAGG
rnacentral:rRNA from 1 species